rnacentral:misc_RNA from 1 species
GCAAACUUGGUCAUUUAGAGGAAGUAAAAGUCGUAACAAGGUUUCCGUAGGUGAACCUGCGGAAGGAUCAUUACUGAGUAUACCAGGAGUUGUCUUGUUCUUGUAGCAAGACACUCUUGUCUUCUCAUUCACCCUUUGUUUUCAAUUAUCAGUUGCUUUGGUAAUCAUCUUUUGAUGGUUAUCAAGGGAGUUAAUUAACCCUUUAUUAUCUAACAGUGGAUACACUUUUGUCAUAAGUUUAUAUUUAAAAUAUAUAAAACUUUCAACAAUGGAUCUCUUGGUUCUGGCAUCGAUGAAGAACGCAGC